UUUCUGUAAGAGAUUUUUUUUAAUGUUUGAGUAAUAGAGGUUGGUGUGUGUGUGUGUGUGUGUGUGUGUGUGUGUGUGUGUGUGUGUGUGUGUGUGUGUGUGUGUGUGUGUGUGUGUGUGUGUGUGUGUGUGUGCUUGUCUGUUCAGCAGGGGUAGUCAUACAAGGCCUUCCGCCAUAUAAUCUACAUUUUUUCAAAGAUUCUCAAAGAUCCUUGCAGCGCACACUUGUUGACAGAUUGCUCAUUAGUGUGACACAAACUUUCAGCACCGUCUGCAGUUUCUGGAGUUCACCAGUCUUCUCCCCAUCUCUGUAAAAAAAAGGGAAAGCUAAAGCCUCACAGUGCUUUACCUGUAUGUGAUAGCUAUGGCCUGAGGGUUGACAGUAUCUAAUCACAGCUUCAACAGGUGAGGAGGGGAGACACCGCAGACAGCAUGGCACCUAGUGGAAUUCCUGCACUAUCAUAAUGUGGAUCAAACCACACAUGCACUGGGUUUAUAGUAAAUGUAUAGAAUUUCUCUCUGCUGCAAUAACAGUAAAUGAUGUAUAUGCAAGUGCACCUGGUAUUUAAAGACAUUCUACUGUAAUACAGAGUAGGAGGCUUUUCUGCUUGUGUGAAAGCAGCACAAUCCUCAAAGACAAAAACACAAUAUUUAACCAUUCAGUCAAG